AUUGAACGCUGGCGGCAUGCCUUACACAUGCAAGUCGAACGGUAACGCGGGGCAACCUGGCGACGAGUGGCGAACGGGUGAGUAAUGCAUCGGAACGUGCCCAGUAGUGGGGGAUAGCCCGGCGAAAGCCGGAUUAAUACCGCAUACGACCUACGGGUGAAAGCGGGGGACCGGCAGGCCCCGCGCUCUUGGAGCGGCCGAUGUCAGAGUAGGUUGUUGGUGGGGUAAAAGCCUACCAAGCCGACGAGCUGUAGCUGGUCUGAGAGGACGACCAGCCACACUGGGACUGAGACACGGCCCAGACUCCUACGGGAGGCAGCAGUGGGGAAUUUUGGACAAUGGGGGCAACCCUGAUCCAGCCAUGCCGCGUGCGGGAAGAAGGCCUUCGGGUUGUAAACCGCUUUUGUCAGGGAAGAAACGCUCUGGGCUAAUACCCCGGGGUAAUGACGGUACCUGAAGAAUAAGCACCGGCUAACUACGUGCCAGCCGCCGCAGUAACAC
rnacentral:rRNA from 1 species